rnacentral:sRNA from 12 species
UUGCCCUGUGGCGGACAAAGCGCGGCGCAAUCAAAAAACGCUUUGCAGGUAGCGGUGCCGCGUUCAGUCUGGUAUCAUAAGCAAUUGCUUAUUUCAAAGCACUUUC